rnacentral:rRNA from 1 species
AGCAGCCGCGGUAAUUCCAGCUCCAAUAGCGUAUAUUAAAGUUGUUGCAGUUAAAAAGCUCGUAGUUGAAUUUCGGGAUCAAUUUACUGGUCGUGCAAUCGUACGUACUGGUUUUAUUGAUUCUUCUCUUCUGAAGAACUAUGAUGUCAUUAAUUUGGUGUCAUAGGGAAUCAGGACUGUUACUUUGAAAAAAUUAGAGUGUUUAAAGCAGGCUCACGCUUGAAUACAUUAGCAUGGAAUAACGAAAUAGGACGUUUGAUUCUAUUUUGUUGGUUUCUAGGAUCGACGUAAUGAUUAAUAGGGAUAGUUGGGGGCAUUAGUAUUCAAUUGUCAGAGGUGAAAUUCUUGGAUUUAUUGAAGACUAACUACUGCGAAAGCAUUUGCCAAGGAUGUUUUCAUUAAUCAAGAACGAAAGUUAGGGGAUCGAAGACGAUCAGAUACCGUCGUAGUCUUAACCAUAAACUAUGCCGACUAGGGAUCGGAUGAUGUUAAAUUAAUGACUCA